UACGUAGGGUCCGAGCGUUGUCCGGAAUUACUGGGCGUAAAGAGCUCGUAGGUGGUUUGUCGCGUUGUUCGUGAAAACUCACAGCUCAACUGUGGGCGUGCGGGCGAUACGGGCAGACUGGAGUACUGCAGGGGAGACUGGAAUUCCUGGUGUAGCGGUGGAAUGCGCAGAUAUCAGGAGGAACACCGGUGGCGAAGGCGGGUCUUUGGGCAGUAACUGACGCUGAGGAGCGAAAGCGUGGGGAGCGAACAGG
rnacentral:rRNA from 1 species